CAUGCGCGCGAAGAGCAGCAGUGCCUCGUGGCAGAGGCCGUUCUGAGAGUAACCAGCCAUCAUGGCGUUCCAGGCGAUCACGUCUCUGCGAGGACUUCUUUCGAACAGGUGGUCGGCAUCCGGGAGCAGCCGGCACUUGACGUACACGGUGAGGAGGGCAUUCCUCACUUCGGCUUCCUCUUCCAGUCCGAGCUUGAUGCUGAGCCCGUGCGCCGUCUUGCCCAGGGAAGGAUUCUCCAGCUGCGCUGCAGCGGAAAGAAUGCUGGCGACUGUGAAGGAAUUGGGUGCCAUGCCUGCCGAUCUGACGUCGGAGAAGAGCUUGACGGCGUGGAGGGCGUGGCCUCCCUGCGUAUAGCCGGCGAUCAUCGCC
rnacentral:lncRNA from 1 species